rnacentral:tmRNA from 1 species
GGGGCUGACACGGCUUCGACAGGAGCUGUAUCGCUUGGGUUGCAUACCAGCGGCACGCUGUAAAACUGCACAAAAAAAUAAACGCAAACAAUACAAAUUACGCUCCAGCUUACGCAAAAGUAGCGUGAGUUUAACCUACUCUUAGGAGCUGGUCUGCUUGGUGAUACUAGCUCACCUCGCGGGACCAUCACAAUGCUAGUUGCCUCUAUAAACUGCCUUGUUUGUGGAGAAAGAUUUUGGCUGCUUGCGUGGGUAUUUUGGGGAUUUGAGUAUCUGCGUGAAAAGAUUUUUCAAUUCCUUCUAAGUAUGUAGACGCCCUUGUUGGAUAUGGUUUUUGGACUGGGGUUCGAUUCCCCACAGCUCCACCA